rnacentral:rRNA from 1 species
AGAGUUUGAUCCUGGCUCAGGAUGAACGCUGGCGGCACGCUUAACACAUGCAAGUCGAGCGGAGGUUAGAAGCUUGCUUUUAACCUUAGCGGCGGACGGGUGAGUAACACGUGGGUAACCUACCUCAUACAGGGGGAUAACGUAUAGAAAUGUACGCUAAUACCGCAUAAGCCUACAGAAUGGCAUCAUUCAGUAGGAAAAACUCCGGUGGUAUGAGAUGGGCCCGCGACUGAUUAGCUAGUUGGGGAGGUAACGGCUCACCAAGGCGACGAUCAGUAGCCGGUCUGAGAGGAUGGACGGCCACAUUGGGACUGAGACACGGCCCAGACUCCUACGGGAGGCAGCAGUGGGGAAUAUUGCACAAUGGGGGAAACCCUGAUGCAGCGAUGCCGCGUGAAGGAAGAAGAAUUUCGGUUCGUAAACUUCUAUCAGCAAGGAAGAACUUAGACAGUACUUGACUAAGCAGCCCCGGCUAACUACGUGCCAGCAGCCGCGGUAAUACGUAGGGGGCAAGCGUUAUCCGGAAUUACUGGGUGUAAAGGGUGCGUAGGCGGCACCGCAAGUCAGUUGUGAAACCCCUGAGCUCAACUCAGGGCUUGCAAUUGAAACUGCGGAGCUAGAGUACAGGAGAGGAAAGCGGAAUUCCUAGUGUAGCGGUGAAAUGCUUAGAGAUCAUACAGAACACCGAUUGCGAAGGCAGCUUACCAAACUAUAUCUGACGUUGAGGCACGAAAGCGUGGGGAGCAAACAGGAUUAGAUACCCUGGUAGUCCACGCAGUAAACGAUGAUAGCUCGUUGUCGGCGAUACACAGUCGGUGACUUAGAGAAAUCGAUAAGCUAUCCACCUGGGGAGUACGUUCGCAAGAAUGAAACUCAAAGGAAUUGACGGGGGCCCGCACAAGCGGAGGAACAUGUGGUUUAAUUCGAUGAUACGCGAGGAACCUUACCCGGGCUUGAAAGUUAGCGACGGACUUGGAAACAGGUCUUCCCUUCGGGGCGCGAAACUAGGUGCUGCAUGGUUGUCGUCAGCUCGUGCCGUGAGGUGUCGGGUUAAGUCCCAUAAUGAGCGCAACCCCUACUGAUAGUUGCCAUCAGGUUACGCUGGGCACUCUAUCGGGACUGCCUCUGUAAGGAGGAGGAGGGUGGGGAUGACGUCAAAUCAGCACGGCCCUUACGUCCGGGGCGACACACGUGUUACAAUGGUAGGUACAGAGGGCAGCCACCCAGCGAUGGGGAGCAAAUCUCGAAAGCCUAUCUCAGUUCGGAUUGGAGGCUGAAACUCGCCUCCAUGAAGUUGGAUUCGCUAGUAAUCGCGCAUCAGCCAUGGCGCGGUGAAUACGUUCCCGGGCCUUGCACUCACCGCCCGUCA